GAUUUCUGGUACUUGUGCACCCGGUCGACGGUUUCAACACCGCCUGUAUUGGUGCUGCGCAUACCAUCUUGCUAGUAAUCUAGACGUAUCUUAACUGUGCGGCUAGCGUUCUAGCUCAUUUACUUUGAAAAAAUUAGAGUGUUUAAAGCAGGCUUGUGCCUUGAAUACAUUAGCAUGGAAUAAUAAUUUAGGACUUCCUCCUAUUUUAUUGGUUUCUAGGGGUGAAGUAAUGAUUGAUAGGGAUAGUUGGGGGUGCUAGUAUUCAUCGGCCAGAGGUGAAAUUCUUGGAUUCGAUGAAGACUAACUAAUGCGAAAGCAUU
rnacentral:rRNA from 1 species